CCUACGGGUAGCAGCAGUGGGGAAUAUUGCGCAAUGUGCGAAAGCCUGACGCCGCGACGCCGCGUGAGGGAUGAAGGUCUUCGGAUCGUAAACCUCUAUCAGGAGGGAAGAAGGGGUUAUAUGCGAAUAGUGUAUGACUUUGACGGUACCUCCAAAGGAAGAACCGGCUAACUCCGUGCCAGCAGCCGCGGUAAUACGGAGGGUGCGAGCGUUAAGCGGAAUAACUGGGCGGCAAGCGAGCGUAGGCGGCUUUUCAAGUCAGGGGGGAAAUCCCACGGCCCAACCGUGGAACUGCCUUUGAAAGUGUAGAGCUUGAGUGUCGGACAGGGUGGCGGAAGUCCAGGUGUAGGAGUGAAAUCCGGAGAUAUCUGGAGGAACACCGGUGGCGAAGGCGGCCACCUGGACGACAACUGACGCUGAGGUGCGAAAGCGUGGGUAGCAAACGGGAUUAGAUACCCUUGUAGUC
rnacentral:rRNA from 1 species